GGAGCCUGGCUGGGUACAGUCCAUGGGCUCGCACAGAGUCAGAUACGACCGAGCCCAAGCAUGAGCAGAAAAUCGUAUUAUACGGCAUCUUUCUGCAAAUGGCAAACCUUCCAAAAUUCAAAAUUAUGUGUUUGGAAUUUAUUCACACCGGUACAUGUAGAUGUAGUUCAUCCAUUUUAAUGUGUGUGGUCCUUUUGGCAGUGAUGGAAAAUCAGUCUAAAAGACGUUUAAUCAAGCUUUUUGUACAGAAGGACACAAAGCAUUCUUUCUGAAACAGGCUGCCUUGUCACCUCCCUUCACUUCUUUGAAGCCAUCAGAGGAUGCCUGUUGUCUUUCGGAUGCGAGGGUGGGGCCCGGCCCUGCUCACCCCGGGGCUCCUGGCCGCGCCAGGCUCUCCAGUUUCUGAACUGGUCAAGCUUGUUUCCAACCCAAGGAGUCUGUUCUCUUCCGCUGGCCCUGUGUCUGGCUCCCUCCUGCUCUCAGGAAUCUUCCCCAAUGCCAGUAGAAACCAGGUGUAUCACGCCUCUCAGACCCUUGUUUACGUGGUUUGUAAUUCACUAGAAUUUGUAUAAUGAUGGCUUAGGUUUACUUUCUCCCUAGACUGGGAGCUCCGCGGGGGCCAAGGUCAAGUCUUUUUGGUUCCUGCUACUGUCUAGGACCAAGGGCACUUCCUGAAACAUUGUGGGUGUUCAGCUAUAUCUGCUCAAUAUGUGAACCAAGUAAGUGAUAGAAUACUAUUAAUUAUUUAUCACCACUAAUGGGACUUUAACAGAUUGAAGAACUGGGGGAAGUGUGAAUUUGUUCAGCCCAGGCAAGUCUCUCACUUCUGACUCCAGCUGUCCAUUUCUGCUGGAGAGCUCACCUCUGAUUUCAGAGGAUGCACAAGACAGCCUUAUCUUAGAAGAGUUCAGGUUACUCAACCGUUGUUCAGAACUGGGUCUCAUGGCUACAGGUUUUCUGCUGGGACUGCACCUCUUUCACUGCACUUCCAUGCACCUCUUUCCAGCCCCGGUGGUUCCGUGUGGGAUCGCGGUGUUCACAGUCGUGUCUGCCCAGGCCAACACCUCCCGAACCCGAGCUGCAAACCGAGGCACAUAUUUCUCUUGCAGCGCGUUCUGGCCUUGUUCCCUGAAGGCACAUCUGGAAACCAAGGGUGUCAUUUGCACUCAUCUAACUUGGGAGUCUUCCAAGUGACGAAUGCACACGUUUAUCUCCACCUGUUCUCCUUUCAGCUCCUCGGGGUCUGUGACUCCGUGGAGCACAGGACCAUGUUGUAACGGCACCAAGUCGGGUCCUGUCUGUGUGAUGUCACGUUUGGUGGUGAUUGAAGGCACAGGGUCCCCGGAGCCCGCAGCAGCAAUACCCCACUCUAGUGUGCUGACUUCAGGAGUGAGAGUCCAUCUCCUACCAAGGGCUGUCUCUGCAUCCCUGCCAGAGAGUCAGCCCGCUGUUAUUCCCCUGAAUCACGCCCACACAGACAGCCCCAGCAGCCCGUUCCCGCCAGACCUGCCUGCAUCUCCAUCUGCUUCCCUCUCAGGGCUGGGACAGCCCGCGCCCUCAGCAUGCUGACCCCCAGACACGCUGGGCAGCGGACCAGACCCACCAGCAUCUCGUAGGCGUCCCUCAGCCAGGCACGCGGAUGCGGCAAAGUCCCGGGCUUCACCUUCAAGACUGGAACAGACAGGAAGGACCUCCCUGGUGGUUCAGUGGUAAAGAAUCCGCCCGCCAACGCAGGAGACUCAGGUUUGAUCAGGAAGAUCCCACAUGCCUUGGAGCAACUGUGCGCCACAACUCCUGAGCCUGUGUUCCAGAGCCCGGGGAACCACCGCUACUGAAGACUGCAGGCCCUGGGGCUUGUGCCCCACAACAGGAGAGGCCAUCGCCACAGCUCUAGAGCAGCGCCCGUGCACUGCAACCAGAGAAUGCUGGCACCCUGCAGACCCAGCACAGCCAAAAUACAUAAUAAAAUUUAAAAAAAAACCAACAAACAGAAGUAGCAGACAGAAGGACUCAGAGCAUCGGGCGGGCGCUGGGCAGCAUGGAUGCUGGAGCCAGGCCGUGGGCCCCAUCUGGCUCAGCCACCUGCCAGGCGCUGGGCUGGUUAAUCAUAUAAAGUUGGUGAGACUGCUUCACAUCUCAUUUCCUCUGGCAAAACAGGGCUAAAAACUGCAGCCCCACAGAGGGGUGCUUGCAAGGGUCAUGUGUGGAACACGUACGACAGCAGUGCCUGGAGGAUAGAGAUAGGCGUGAGCUGUGUCACGGCCACUCCUGCGCUGAGACUGCCUUACCAUCUGCGGAGUCCUAGAAAUGUCCUUCAGUGCUGUAGCCUGGCAGAGUAGACUCAGGUUAAUGUCAUCCCAGCAUUCACUGGCUGCUCACUGUGUGGGUGGGGUGGUCCUGGUGUGUGUGGAUCAGCGGCGGGCAGGGUCAGGGAGUGGUCCUGGGACCCUGCUGUCGAAAGCAGGUGGCUGGACACUCGGAUUACACACACGGCGGGCCUGACCCAGAGGACCCCCGGAAGGAAUUGGCUACAACAACAGGCACUGCAGGUCUUUAGAUAAACUUCCUAAGUCUGUUCAUUAAUGGUUUUUAAAAAAUUGACUUUAUUUGAAAAGGAGAUUCUCUUUAGCAACCUAUAUCAUGAUAAUGAAACAUACUUAAUUUUAAAUGAUCUGAUGUCCACAUUAAGUGCAUAAAUAAUGUCCACAUUUGGAAAUCAUACAGUCUUUUAAAAAAAAUUCAUAUUGAGAGUGAAGAAAUUCAUAGGAAGAGGCUAAAAACUUCUGCUUGGGUAUUUACACUGUGGAAAAGAGAUGUAUAUCCUUCACGGGGAGUGCUACCUAAGUUAUAUUUAAAGCAGACAUGUUCCUAUUAAAAUAUUUUCUCACCAAUAGUCAGGAAGGAUCCUGUUACUAUCGCAUACCCACACCUCUGCUGACACAUCCCUCCUGUCAGUCACAAGGAGAGGCGGUUGUCCAUCUAACAACCCCAGAAAGGUGGUCGGGGGAGGCCCUUCCUGAGCCACGGUAGGCGGGGAGUCUGGUAGUUUCUUUGCUGUCAGGGUGGGCGCCAGGCUCAGAAUCCUCCCAGAGCCUCCGAGGGGGGGGACUCUGAUUCCAGAGCCAAGUACAACAUGGGGAAAAGUCCCUUUGGAAAUCCCAGACUUCCAACCAAAGCAACCUGACCUGAGCGUCUUGGCAGACCCGCCAAUGCCUCCGAGGACUCUUAUACACCCCGGCUGAUUCCUUCCCAUCCAGUUUAAGGCCAAACCACAGUAACGGGUCAUUCUGGGGGAGAGGGUUUCGCUCUGAAAGUUGAGUUUCUUGAACGUCAUUUGGGAAAGGAAGUGGUCCCCUGCUCUCUCCUGGGGAUGCUGACCGUUUGUCCUGCACCGUGUGUUGGGGUGGGGGUGAGGCAGGACCUGUCAGCCUGCAGCACCUUCCUUCAGACAGCGGACUGCACACGGGGAGCGGGCACGGCCGUGCCUGCUAAGGCCACUGACCGCCUAGAUUGUGUCUGUUUCAUCACGCAGCUCUUGCUCAGUGCAGCUAUGACAAAAUUUCUGCUUUGCCCGAUUCUUUCAGGCUUUAAAUGGAUUCUGGAGAGCUUUUAAAACAUGAGAGUUCCAAACUCAGGCUUUUCAAGUGAGUCCCAUGCCCUGCCUUGGCUUCGAGUCUGUGAUGACUCCCAAGAGGAGAACCCACAAGGGUUGGGCCUGUGCACAUUCUGAUGAGAGUCAGGCCAGAGAAGGAACUAGGAAGUUCUGGAACUCUUUUCCUGGCCAAAAACUAGUUAGUUUUUCUGAGGCCCAAGACUGGCCAUACCAUACAGAGAAAGUGUGAAAAGAAAGAGGCAAAUCAGAAAGCCAGUUCUCCGGUUUGAUUUCAGACAUGGAGGUGCACACAUAUAUUUGGGUAGGAUAUGUAAGUAUGUGUUACUUUUUAUCUAAUUUUCCCUGAAUGACUUAGCUGACUAAGAAAACACCUCUGGCAGUUUGGGAAAAAGCCAGAACCUUUGCUUAUAAAAUCUGUGCUUGUUUCCAGUCUGUCAUCACAUUCCGGUCACCAGGGGCCGGAGUUCAUCUCCACCUCAGUGGACACAGCGCCUCCCCAGCAGCUCCGCGGGCUGGGGCACAGCUGAGUAAACACACGGCACCCCCGUGACCCUCACGCCCGUGGUCAGAGUUUCAGCUCGUCCCCACCGUCCCCACGCUGCCUUUCCACACGUCCUAGACAGCGCUCUGCACCUGGGAAUAUGCCCACAGGGAACACGAAGAACUGGUGACACGACAUGGAAACACCUGAUAUUCCGACAAAGGAAAAGGAAGGCCCCGGUGGAUGAGUGAGGAAGACGGGUCUAGUGUGUGCACUGACUUGCCCUAACGCCCACCUGGUGAAUGAAUUACGCAUCCCCGCCCGCCCCAGGUGAACACAGCCGAGCCAGGCCCCCACUCAGCGCUAAUGGCGAACCGGGGUCACACACGAGAUGAAAGCUCCCCGGGCGGCUGCCUGUAAAGCAGGACUGAAAGUCGGGGUUGGGAAGCGUGGGCCGCAGCCUGGCGCCGAGCGCGGACGCGAUGGGAUGCGGACAGAUGGACGGUGACUCGGAGAGAGAGGGCGGGCCAGGUGCUUAGUACCCAACAGCUCGGCCCGCAGAG